GCCCGGGUGGCGGAACUGGUAUACGCGCACGUUCGAGGGGCGUGUGGAGCAAUCCUUGGAGGUUCAAGUCCUCUCCCGGGCA
rnacentral:tRNA from 2 species